rnacentral:sRNA from 7 species
AUGUACCACGCGUACACGCGGUUCUGAGCGUGCCGUCCGCACCGCCCGGCGACUGCUCGCUGCGUUUUGUUAGCC